AGAUGAAGCCGCAAGGCUCGGCGUUCAGCGACUUGCCCCAGGGGCUCAGAGGAGCACCCCAGAUGUAUCUAAGUCUCAAGGUUCCUUCCAUCCGGACUUUUCUUUGAGGAAGAGAAAUUAACUGGAGGCAAGCGAGUCUGUGCACCUUGCUUCCCACUUUGAAACAGUAUAACUUUUGAUCAUUACUAAAUCAUCCCCAAGAUGAAAACUAUGUGUGCAUCCAUUGUCUGUCUAGCAUAAUGGGAAUGAACAAAUAACAUAAACUUCACGUGAGACUAUGAGGACCGGACAAGGAAAAGUUGGCCUUGAAGUACGUGGUAUGAAAUCACGCUUCCAACCUGUAGAGUGACAGGGCUGUAGGAAAGCUGAGCUUCAUAAAAUCAAAGACAGUGAGAGUUUGUCAUACCACCCAGGGAAAAGUGGGUAAUUUUAAGUCUUUUUCUCUGGACUCCUAAUGAUUCUAAUUAUACUGCUUCUGCUUUUUAGAGUCAGUUAAUUCAGCUGGUUGCCAAAAAGGCAGCAAAUUUGAUCCUUGAAACUACAAUUUCACUUUGUUCUGUUAUAGCCCUGGGCUGCACUUUACCCUAGCCUGGUCCAGGUCUCUUGGGAAACCUGGUGAGAGGAGGAGGGGAGUGACUUUCCACUCUUUUGUAAAAUUAACUCUAAGACUAUAAGCACUAGGUGGCAUUUGAGCAUCACUUUCAAACAUUUUUGUUAUGUCCUGGACCAUUGUGUAGUUAAUAUUUUCUUUAAAUUCACUCAUUUAUAAUCUUAAAAGUUUUAAAAUAUGUAUUAGUCGGGAUAGUCUAGGCUUUGUUGCAGUAACAAAUAAACGCUGAUAUUGCAAAGGCUUAACACAGCAAAGGUUUGGUUUUCCAUAUGAACAAAAGCUCAACGUCACUGAUCAUUAGGGAAAUGCAAAUCAAAACUACAAUGAGAUACCAUGGUGAUUGUUCAAAAGUCAAGAAACAAUAGAUGCUGGCAAGGCUGUGGAGAAAUAGGAAUGCUUUUACACUGUUGGUGGGAGUGUAAAUUAGUACAACCAUUGUGGAAGAAGGUGUUGCCAUUCCUCAAGGAUCUAGAACCAGAAGUACCAUUUGACCCAGCAAUCCCAUUUCUUGGUAUAUACCCAAAGGAAUAUAGAUCAUUCUACUAGAAAGACACAUGCACACGUAUGUUUAUUGCAGCACUAUUUACAAUAACAAAGACUUGGAACCAACCCAAAUGCCCAUCAAUGAUAGACUGGAUAAAGAAAAUGUGGUACAUAUACACCAUGGAAUACUAUGCAGCCAUAAAGAGGAAUGAGAUCAUGUCCUUUGCAAGGACAUGGAUGAAGCUGGAAGCCAUCAUCCUCAGCAAACUAACACAGGAACAGAAAACCAAACACCACAUAUUCUCACUCAUAAGUGGGAGUUGAA
rnacentral:lncRNA from 1 species